rnacentral:lncRNA from 1 species
CUUCUGAGCAUGCCAAGAAAGGCUGCUGGCUACUGAGGAAGGGGUCUCCACGACACCACAGGACCCCAGUGCCCUGGAACUGAGAGCAUGUGAGAAGAAUCUGGUUUCGAUUUCUUCUGUCAACUGUGACUUGCAGACACAUGGUCAUUCUGUCCUGUAACCAAGACACUCAACUGCAAGAGAAAAACCCAGAGUCACCACCAUGAGACUAUGAUACUUGCAUGCCAUGCCAUUUC